rnacentral:lncRNA from 1 species
CCGUAACAGAGCUCCUGGGGUACCCUUAGGAACAACAGACUGAAAAAGUGGAAAGAAAUGAAGGAGAAGGCCAACUGCUGUGCCAAGGAUGGUGUCACUAGACAUGGUGAGGUGUCUGUGGCCUUGCAAAUUGAGCUCGUGAUGUUGUGGAAGGGCGUCCAGAGAGACAAAGAGACUCCCCAGAACCUUCUGAACUGUGAAACUGAAGCUCUAUCCAUUAUAAAACAAAGUUCCUUCUUCCUGUACUGACGGAGUGUAUGGCUGGUUGAUCUUCAACUUAAGUUCCAAGAAAGCAUGGUGGUUUCUCAACGGUUCAGGGAAAAACAUUGGGAAAACAUGUGGUCACACAAAAUAACCAAAUCUAAUUCCUAUUUCAAACAUGCAAAGUCAGUUUAUAAUUGACUAAAAUUUAAGUGUAAAACCUAAAAUUGAAACUGUUAAAAGAGAGCAGAGAAAAGUUUCUUGGUGUGGAAUUAGUCAUUAUUAUUUAAAUAUAACCUGAUAGCCCGGUUUAAAAAAAAUCAAAACUAUGUAAGGGAAUCUCAUCAAGCUACAGUCACUUGAAUAUCAAAGGAAAUAAUAA